rnacentral:lncRNA from 1 species
AAAGUGAGCGAUUGAGUGAGGUUGGAGGUUGAGAGAGAUUCGUGGAGAGUUUGAGAGAAGUGAGUGAAGGUUAACGGUGAGGGAGGAGCGCGAGAUAGAGAGAGGAGAACGAUCCUGUCACCAUUCCAAAUUGUUUUUUUUCCUUUUUUUAUUUCGUUUUAAACAGAGUAAAUUUUGGAAAAAUCAUUUUUAGUUUGUUUAAACUUCCUAGGUUUUUAGUUAAUGUUAGUUAAUCAUAUUUCCUCCUUUCCAACUUAUUCCCC